rnacentral:tRNA from 1 species
GAGGGUAUAGCUUGGCAGUGGAGCGCAGGCUUAGCACGCGUGAGGUCUUGGGUUCACUCCCCAGUACCCCCA